UACAGAGGUCCCAAGCGUUGUUCGGAUUCACUGGGCGUAAAGCGUGCGCAGGCGGUUCGCCAAGUCAGGUGUGAAAUCCCCGGGCUUAACCUGGGAAUUGCGCUUGAAACUAGCGGGCUUGAGUGUGGCAGAGGGGGGUGGAAUUCCACGUGUAGCAGUGAAAUGCGUAGAGAUGUGGAGGAACACCGAUGGCGAAGGCAGCCCCCUGGGUUAACACUGACGCUCAUGCACGAAAGCGUGGGGAGCAAACAGG
rnacentral:rRNA from 1 species